rnacentral:rRNA from 1 species
CCUACGGGUGGCAGCAGUGGGGAAUAUUGGACAAUGGGCGAAAGCCUGAUCCAGCCAUGCCGCGUGUGUGAAGAAGGCCUUCGGGUUGUAAAGCACUUUCAGUGGGGAAGAAAGCCUUGGGGCUAAUACCCUCGAGGAAGGACAUCACCCACAGAAGAAGCACCGGCUAACUCCGUGCCAGCAGCCGCGGUAAUACGGAGGGUGCGAGCGUUAAUCGGAAUUACUGGGCGUAAAGCGCGCGUAGGCGGUCUGAUAAGCCGGUUGUGAAAGCCCCGGGCUCAACCUGGGAACGGCAUCCGGAACGGGCAGGCUAGAGUGCAGGGGAGGAAGGUAGAAUUCCCGGUGUAGCGGUGAAAUGCGUAGAGAUCGGGAGGAAUACCAGUGGCGAAGGCGGCCUUCUGGACUGACACUGACGCUGAGGUGCGAAAGCGUGGGUAGCAAACAGGAUUAGAUACCCCAGUAGUC